rnacentral:rRNA from 1 species
UCCUACGGGAGGCAGCAGUAAGGAAUAUUGGUCAAUGGACGCAAGUCUGAACCAGCCAUGCCGCGUGAAGGAUUAAGGUCCUCUGGAUUGUAAACUUCUUUUAUCUGGGACGAAAAAAGGCGAUUCUUCGUCACUUGACGGUACCAGAUGAAUAAGCACCGGCUAACUCCGUGCCAGCAGCCGCGGUAAGACGGAGGAGGCUAGCGUUGUUCGGAAUUACUGGGCGUAAAGCGUGCGCAGGUUGUGAGUUCAGUCUGAUGUGAAAGCCCGGGGCUCAACCUCGGAUGUGCAUUAGAUACUGACUUGCUGGAGGUUGGAAGAGGAGAGUGGAAUUCCCAGUGUAGAGGUGAAAUUCGUAGAUAUUGGGAAGAACACCAGUGGCGAAGGCGGCUUCUUGGUCCGUAACUGACGCUGAGGCGCGAAAGCGUGGGGAGCAAACAGGAUUAGAUACCCCGGUAGUCCAAGCCG